GAUGAACGCUGGCGGCGUGCCUAAUACAUGCAAGUCGAGCGAACAGACGAGAAGCUUUCUCUCCUGACGUUAGCGGCGGACGGGUGGGUAACACAUGGAUAACCUACUUAUAAGACUUGGAUAACUUCGGGGAACCAGUUCUACUACUGGCUCAUAUAUUGAACGGCUUGGAUCAAUAGUGCAUGACACCUUUGCUGUCACUUUUAGACGGUUCCGCGCCGCAUUAGCUAGUUGGUAAGGUAACGGCUAACCAACGCAACGAUGCGUAGCCGACCUGAGAGGAUGAUCGGCCACACUGGAACUGAGACACGGUCCAGACUCCUACGGGAGGCAGCAGUGGGGAAUAUUGCACAAUGGGCGAAAGCUUGAUGGAGCAAUGCCGCGUGAGUGAAGAAGGUCUUCGGAUCGUAAAACCCUUUUGUUGGGAAAGAACAAAAGUAGAAGAAACUACGGACGUCUUGACGGUACCUAAACAGAAAGCCACGGCUAACUACGUG
rnacentral:rRNA from 1 species